CAGCUUGUUGGUGGGGUAACGGCCUACCAAGGCUUCGACGGGUAGCUGGUCUGAGAGGAUGAUCAGCCACACUGGGACUGAGACACGGCCCAGACUCCUACGGGAGGCAGCAGUGGGGAAUCUUGCGCAAUGGGCGAAAGCCUGACGCAGCAACGCCGCGUGCGGGAUGACGGCCCUCGGGUUGUAAACCGCUUUCAGCAGGAACGAAUCUGACGGUACCUGCAGAAGAAGGUCCGGCCAACUACGUGCCAGCAGCCGCGGUAACACGUAGGGACCAAGCGUUGUCCGGAUUUAUUGGGCGUAAAGAGCUCGUAGGCGGUUCGGUAAGUCGGGUGUGAAAACUCUGGGCUCAACUCAGAGAGGCCACCCGAUACUGCCGUGACUUGAGUCCGGUAGGGGAGCACGGAAUUCCUGGUGUAGCGGUGAAAUGCGCAGAUAUCAGGAGGAACACCGGUGGCGAAGGCGGUGCUCUGGGCCGGUACUGACGCUGAGGAGCGAAAGCGUGGGUAGCAAACAGGAUUAGAUACCCUGGUAGUCCACGCCGUAAACGUUGGGCACUAGGUGUGGGACCCCGCCAACGGGUUCUGUGCCGCAGCUAACGCAUUAAGUGCCCCGCCUGGGGAGUACGG
rnacentral:rRNA from 1 species